CAGUCGCCGCGGUAAUACGAAGGGGGCUAGCGUUGUUCGGAUUUACUGGGCGUAAAGCGCACGUAGGCGGACUUUUAAGUCAGGGGUGAAAUCCCGGGGCUCAACCCCGGAACUGCCUUUGAUACUGGGAGUCUUGAGUUCGAGAGAGGUGAGUGGAAUUGCGAGUGUAGAGGUGAAAUUCGUAGAUAUUCGCAAGAACACCAGCGGCGAAGGCGGCUUACUGGCUCGAAACUGACGCUGAGGCGCGAAAGCGUGGGGAGCAAACAGGAUUAGAUACCCGCGUAGUCCCUGUCUCUUAUAC
rnacentral:rRNA from 1 species